rnacentral:rRNA from 1 species
GACGAACCGUCCUAACGUUGUUCGGAAUCACUGGGCUUAAAGGGCGCGUAGGCGGCUUGCCAAGUCAGGGGUGAAAUCCUGCAGCUUAACUGUAGAAGGGCCUUUGAUACUGGCGAGCUCGAGGGAGGUAGGGGUAUGUGGAACUUCCGGUGGAGCGGUGAAAUGCGUUGAUAUCGGAAGGAACGCCGGUGGCGAAGCGACGUACUGGACCUCUUCUGACGCUGAGGCGCGAAAGCUAGGGGAGCAAACGGG